rnacentral:rRNA from 1 species
UCAAGCUACAAAGAGCUAACGGUGGAUACCUAGGCACGUUGAGGCGAUGAAGGACGUGGCGACCGACGAAACGUUCCGGGGAGCUGGAAGCAAGCAUUGAUCCGGAAGUGUCCGAAUGGGGCAACCCUAAAAACGGUCGGCUGAAUCUAUAGGCCGACACGAGCGAACCGGGCGAACUGAAACAUCUUAGUAGCCCGAGGAAGAGAAAGCAAAAGCGAUUCCCCGAGUAGCGGCGAGCGAAACGGGAGAAGCCUAAACCUAAGGUUUUUACCUUAGGGGUUGUGGGACGGCAUCACGAGACUGGGAAGAUUAGACGAAGCUGUUGAAUGCAGCACCAGAGAAGGUGAAAGUCCUGUAGUCGAAAAUCCGAACAGCUCAGCCGUAUCCCGAGUAGCACGGGGCACGUGAAAUCCCGUGUGAAUCAGCGAGGACCACCUCGUAAGGCUAAAUACUCCAACGUGACCGAUAGUGAAACAGUACCGCGAGGGAAAGGUGAAAAGAACCCCGGGAGGGGAGUGAAAUAGAACCUGAAACCGUUAGCUUACAAGCAGUGGGAGGACGAUUUAACGUCUGACCGCGUGCCUGUUGAAGAAUGAGCCGGCGAGUAAUAGGUCGUGGCUGGUUAAGGCGAGAAUGCCGAAGCCCCAGCGAAAGCGAGUCCGAAUAGGGCGUUGGUCACGAUUUAUUGACCCGAACCCGGGCGAUCUAACCAUGUCCAGGAUGAAGCUUGGGUAACACCAAGUGGAAGUCCGCACCGACCAAUGUUGAAAAAUUGGCGGAUGAGGUGUGGUUAGGGGUGAAAUGCCAAUCGAGCCCGGAGCUAGCUGGUUCUCCUCGAAAUGCGUUUAGGCGCAGCGGCUAGAGCAAUAUCUAUGGGGGUAAAGCACUGUUUCGGUGCGGGCUGCGAGAGCGGUACCAAAUCGAGGCAAACUCUGAAUACCAUAGAGAAACUAGCCAGUGAGACGGUGGGGGAUAAGCUUCAUCGUCGAAAGGGAAACAGCCCAGACCACCAGCUAAGGUCCCCAAGUGGACACUAAGUGAUAAAGGAGGUGGGAGUGCCGAGACAACCAGGAGGUUUGCCUAGAAGCAGCCAUCCUUAAAAGAGUGCGUAAUAGCUCACUGGUCAAGCGCUCCCGCGCCGAAAAUGAACGGGGCUAAGUGUCCCACCGAAGCUGUGGACUUAGUUUUUAACUAAGUGGUAGAGGAGCGUUCUGCUCUAGGGUGAAGCACUAGCGGCAAGCAGGUGUGGACGAAGCAGAAGUGAGAAUGUCGGCUUAAGUAGCGAAAAGAUGUGUGAGAAUCACAUCCCCCGAAAACCUAAGGGUUCCUCCGGCAGGCUCGUCCGCGGAGGGUUAGUCAGGACCUAAGGCGAGGCCGAAAGGCGUAGUCGAUGGACAACGGGUUAACAUUCCCGUACCCGAACAGACUGGUAGCGGAGGACGGAGAAGGCUAAGUCAGCCGGGUGAUGGUAGUCCCGGUUUAAGCGUUCGAAGGUGAUGACGGGUGGUGAAAACACCCUGAGCUAAGACGUGAACAGGACCGGCUACGGCUGGGAAGUGACCGAUGUCAUGCUUCCAAGAAAAGCCCGAACUACUGAAAAUCUGUUUGGCCUGUACCCGAAACCGACACAGGUAGGUAGGUUGAGUAAACCAAGGGGCGCGAGAUAACUCUCUCUAAGGAACUCGGCAAAAUGGCCCCGUAACUUCGGGAGAAGGGGUGCCACCGAGAGGUGGUCGCAGUGAAGAGGCCCAAGCGACUGUUUACCAAAAACACAGGUCUCCGCUAAGUCGCAAGACGAUGUAUGGGGGCUGACGCCUGCCCAGUGCCGGAAGGUUAAGGAAGUUGGUUAGCGUAAGCGAAGCUGACGACCGAAGCCCCGGUGAACGGCGGCCGUAACUAUAACGGUCCUAAGGUAGCGAAAUUCCUUGUCGGGUAA